rnacentral:lncRNA from 1 species
AGGUAUUACAAAAUAGAGGUCCUGAAAGAAAAAAAAAAACAACUUCAAGAAAGCCAUUGUUCGAGUUUUUGAAACUCAGUUUAACUGAAGAUUUAAUCACCUUUGAGUCUAGCAGAGCUGUGGAAACUAAUGUAUGAACUAUGAGAAAUAAUUUCUUCUCAAGUGUAAUUUUGUCUGUUUUUUUCUUUCUCUUUCUUUUUCUUUUUAGCAAUAAGCCAUAUAAACCUUUUCUGCCAACUUCUUAUUCUCCCCAAGAGGGCUACUUAAAGGAGGGUGAAGACAUGCUAAGGAGGAAUGGAUAGACCUGUGAAAGUGUUUGGUAAUUAUGUGAAAAUCCUUUUCAGAUUCUUGCAGGUUUUUCUCGUCUUUUGUUUCAUUGUUUUGUUUGAUGGCAUUUUUGUUUUGUUGGCACCAGAGAUUGAACCCAAGUGCAUUUAAACACUGAGUCACAUCCCAGCCCUUUUGAUUUUUUAUUUCGAAACAGGGUCUCACCAGGUUGCAUACAGCCUCACUAAGUUCGGAGGCUGGCUUCAAAUCUGCAAUCCUCCUGCCUCAGCCUCCCACGCCACUGGGAUUACCAGCAUGCACCACGGUGCCUGUCUGGGGCAUUCUUUUUUGAUGCGAGUUCUCACGAUGUUGCCCAGCUGGCCUUGAACUCCUGGGCUCAAGGGAUCCUCCCACCUUAACUUCCCCAGUAACUGGGACCAUGGGUGGGUGCCAUUUCCCCUGCUUUUUUUUUU